UACGUAGGGGGCAAGCGUUGUCCGGAUUUAUUGGGCGUAAAGAGCGUGUAGGCGGCUUCACAGGUUCGCUGUGAAAACUCGAGGCUCAACCUCGAGCUGUCGGUGGAAACCGUGUGGCUAGAGUCCGGAAGAGGAGAGUGGAAUUCCCGGUGUAGCGGUGAAAUGCGCAGAUAUCGGGAAGAACACCCGUGGCGAAGGCGGCUCACUGGCCCGAUACUGACGCUGAGGCACGAAAGCGUGGGGAGCAAACAGG
rnacentral:rRNA from 1 species